GCGGAAAUUUAAAACUUUUUCAAUACAAUCAAAGUAUUUAUAAAACGAGCGGAAGUCUAAUACAAUUGUCUCAAACCAUCUAAACAUCAUGAAUAAUCUUGGGACACAGCCCAUACAAUAGUCCAACAUGAAAAGAAAGACAUAAACGGAAAAUGGGGGUGAAAUCCUCGAAAGCUAUGAGGACCCACCAAAUCUUCAAUCCUUGAUAUACUAUGAUCCUAGCCACAAAGGUGCGCAUCAAUAUCUC
rnacentral:lncRNA from 1 species